rnacentral:rRNA from 1 species
UCCGAAGGGGGCUAUCGUUGCUCGGAAUUACUGGGCGUAAAGGGCGCGUAGGCGGACCUGUCAGUCAGGCGUGAAAGCCCAGGGCUCAACCCUGGAACUGCGCUUGAUACUGCGGGUCUAGAGUACCGGAGAGGAUGGUGGAAUUCCCAGUGUAGAGGUGAAAUUCGUAGAUAUUGGGAAGAACACCGGUGGCGAAGGCGGCCAUCUGGACGGUAACUGACGCUGAGACGCGAAAGCAUGGGGAGCGAACGGG